rnacentral:lncRNA from 1 species
GAUUCGUCGAUUUGAUAUUUUGUUUGUUUACAUUUGUACAUAGUAAUAAUAAUUACAUAUGAUUUCAAAUACUUCCUGUAAACUUUCAGGACAUGUUGUAAGAACAUGUCUCACCAGUACCCAAUUCUUUUCAAUCUUUUCAAGUAGAACCGCUCAGCCUCAAAACAAAGUCACAAGUUUUUCCGUCAACAACAAAACUUUUGUUCGAAUCAAAACAAAAUACAAGACCAAGAUGACAGAUGAGUGGUUGAAGAUUGGGACCUAUUCAGUUUUUCCAUGGUCGAUUUCAGGAGUAGAAACGUGUGUUGUCAUUAAAACCAAUGGCCCCACACUCACAUUUGAUUUGGGAUAUUCAUGUAGAAGCAGUGUGUCCAGCAAUUUAGUCUUCUUCAGGUAUAGU